rnacentral:lncRNA from 1 species
AGAAGACCCAAGUCCAAGAUUGAAGGCACAGCUUCUCCUGAGCAUGAACAUCGCUGUCUCACCACCGCAAAGUGAAAUACAGUCAAGGCCGGGGCUAUCUUCUGUGUUCCCCUGCCUGGCUUCUUCUAUGGACAUGUUUGCAAGCUUCUUCACCUUGCUGGACACUGGGACCACUUGUUAAGCUUUGCUGUCCAUCAGCAUCCCCAUUGGGACUGUGCCACCAUUUCCUUACUAGUAUUUCAGAAUCAUGGAGAAGGCUUCAUGAUGGGGCUACAAACCAAGCAAUGUUGACAAGCACCAGAAACUAAAAAGAGCAAGCAAGACUCCUACCAUCUGCAUCUUGACUUUGGACAUCUGAUCUCCAGAAUCACAAAGGGAUGGAUACAUUGCUGUCAUCUUGAGUCACUCAGCUCAUAGCACAACAUCACUGACAGAAAGGCCAGGCUACUGGGUGUGUAAGGGGGAAGAAGGAAAUGUAAGAUUACCAGGGACUAGUGGCAUCUCUUCUAAUCUCUGCACCAUGGAGUGAAAAGAAGAACACUUAGCUGCUUCCUCAAGGUAAAGCUGAAGACUCUGAGGACUCGUUGUCUAGAGAACACUUUCCAAUUGUAAUCAUGGACAAACCAGAAAAUGCUUUGGUGUGACGUAGGAAGGGUAUUUGUUAGGAAUCUCUCUCUCUCCCUCCCUCCCUUCCUCCCUCCUUCUCUCCCUUCCUCCUUCCCUCUCUCCCUCUCCCUUUCAUCUCAAACUCACACAUGAACACAUGAGCGCAAGUGUGUGCAUAACACACACAGAGACAUUAAAAAAAGAUAGAGAUGAUUACGGUGUUAAAAAGAUUCUCUAAAAUCUGAGAGGUUAUCAAGCCAUCUUGAUAAAAAAGGACUAUGAAUCAUGACAGCCGCAAUCUCAGAGCCUGACAGAAUUCACACUGGAAGUUUAUUAGGGAGGGGAUGACUUCAGAGAGACCACACGGUCUCAUCUUGUCACUGAACAGAAAACAUAUUAAUUCAGUUUAGCCACCUGGGACCCAUUUAGUGCACUAGAGCAGUAAUUUGCUAAAUGGGUCCCUCAUAGUAAAAUAGAAUGAGUAAAGACUGAGCAAUUUAGGAUGGUAAACCACUAGUAGCUCAAGGGAUAUACAAACGUGAAGCUAUAAUUAGAUUCCUUGUUCAUAAUGUAGAAACUAAAUACAUGGUAUAUUGUAUCUUUCUGAGUUUAUUUCUGGACACAGCUGAGCCCUUAAUAGUUCAGAUAGAAAUUAUCCCAGCUAUCAAUUCAUGCUUCCAUUAAAAUUCCAACUGUUUUAAUACAAAAUAAAUUCAAAGGUGGUUUCUUUUAUCUUAGCUGUAAGGAUGCACCCAGGAUUAACCUAGAGCGGCAAGUCAGUUAUAAACCAUGCUGCAGCAGAAAAUAAUGGAGUAUUGUGUUCUUGCUCUCUGAAUUUAGCUGUGGAAAUAUUUUAGCAAGUUGACAACCUUUACAUCUGAUGUUUCUUUUCAGGAUUAUCUUUUAGCUUUUUAAGAUGUGAUUCUUUGAGGCUGGUGACGUGACUCAGCAGAUAAAACCACUUGCCACUAAGUCUGACAACCAGGGUUCAAUUCCUGGGACACACAUGGUAGAUGCUUACUACACCUGUGGUUAGUCCUCUGUCUUCAGUAUGUGCACUAGGGCAUAGAUGCACAUGAGACCAUUAAAACAAAGAUGACAUUUUUUGUUUUUUGUGUGUGACUGCUCAGGAGGAGCAGGAAGACCUGGCUUCAAGCUCCAAAACAAAGUGAUUGCUUAGAAAAUGUGGCUAGGCAGAAAUAGCAGCAGAUUGCAUGCCUGGAAUGCUUCAAAGGGUAGGGCAUAGUGUGAUGUGCUAUGGGGUUACAGUGAUGCUUUCCCUACCCCCAACUAUUCGAAGCUGCCUGGAAAACAUUAAAAUUUUUUCUUUUUUAUUCGUAGCAAUUGCAUAGUGUGGGCUGGUAAAGAAGUCAGAGUGAUAUUCUAUGACACUAGAAACCUCCAUGCUUAAGUUCCAUUGCUCUUUAUCAAUUUGCUAUUUCAACUACAGGGUUCUGCUUUAUCUGGUGCUACAAGGAUGUCUACUCUUUCAGAAUUCUCAUUUUCUUUCUUUCCUUUCAUAUCACUAUUUAGUCUCUUCAGGAAGGUUUAGGAUCAAAUUGUGGUGGUCCUUUCUUGCUAUUCUGCUAUCCCUGCCAGUGGGAUUCCUGAGACUAUUGGGGUAGGACAUUUUUCAGAUUACAGAUUCUAUGUACAAAAUCUGGCAAAAUUGCAUUUGUUUUCCAUCUGCUUUUAAAAAUAUUCUCUUGUAGCACUAAUUCUAAUUGGUCUUAAUAAUAAAAACUCAGAGUCAGAUAUUGGGGUUAAAGCCAAAGAUCAGCGAAGCAAAGCGGCCAAGCCACUAGAGAGUUCUCACCUCUCUCUACCAAUGCUCAGACCAAAAAGGUGACCCUGUCUUCAGUGUGACUGCAGACUGCAUCAGUCUUCACCAAACUUCAGACUGCACUGAACUCCUAUCUCCUCCAGCCUUAUAUUCCUCUCUAGUACUGGGAUAAAUUCGUGGGAUCCCAAGUGCUUUGUGUGAGUUCUGUUUCUCUUUUAGACUGGAUAAAUUUCAUGUAGCUCAAGAUGGCCUUGAUAGACAGAUCUGUCUAUCUAUGUCUCCCAAGUGCUGGCAUUAAAGGUGUGUACCACCACUGCCUGGCCUCUAUGGCUAACUAAUGUGGCUAGCUUUGCACUCUGAUCUUUAGGCAGGCUUUAUUUGUUAGAUCAUAAACACAAUAUCACAUUUUCUUGACAAUUUUAUUUACUAUGCACAUGGGUAUUCUGCCUGCAUGUAUGUCUGUGCACCUCAUGCAUGCAAUGUCCCUAGAGGCUAGACUAAGCAUUGGAUUCCCUGGAACUAGAGUUACACAAGGUUGUGAAACACUAUCUCGGCGCUGGAACUCAGGAUCCAGGUCCUCUGGUUGAGUAGCCGGUGAUGAUAAUUGCUCAGCUGUUUCUCCAGCUCCAACACCUGUUGUUCUUCUAUGCAGUGAGGAUAAUUUUCUUUAUAUGGAGAUAGUUACUUUUCUUAUUGCUGUUAAAAACACCUAACAAAAGGUUGUCGGGCACCUCAAUAGCAAGGGCAUAUUUUGGCUCACAGCUGGAGGGUAGAGAGCAUCAUAGCAGAGAGGACAUUGUGGCAGGAGUAUGAGACAGCGGGUCACAUUUAAACCUCUCUGAAAUCACCCUUAAAGACACAGCCAGAAGUGUUUCUCUGGUGAUUCUAAAUUCAAUCAAGUUGGAUUUAAUAAAGUGAGUUAAUUCAUUGCUCUAACAGUGUCUGGUAAUUAUAACUUCUUUUUUGAGACAGAGUGUCACCAUGUAGACCAGGUUGGCUUCAGACUCUCAGACAUCUGACAUUCUAUCUCCUAAGUGCUAGGAUUAAAGGCACUGC